AGAGUUCAAAGGUGUCAACAUUGUGAGGUACAGGGCUUGCCCAUAGGCUGCUCUAGGACCUGGGUCAGAGAGCACUUAGCCAGGGCACUUAGAGAGCCACACCAGCCUAUCCAGUGAGCCGCAGGUGGAGGGGGUCCCAGCCACUUUUGGUUUUUGAGCUUUUCAGUAUAUUAAAAAAGAAAGCCAGAGACAGACAAAACAGGAUGACAAGCAUUGAGAUGCACAUUUAACUGAUAGUGCUUCAGUGAAAAUACAGGGUAGAACACUUGUGCUGUUCACAAAAUAUUGAAAACCUUAUUUCCAAGUGCACCCCAAGUUACAGGUCCCUGGCGAGCAGCAGCUUCUUUCAGUCCCACCUAGAAAGUCUAGGUGACUCUAGUCAUCCAGAAUGUCCUCAACCAGAGCACGUCCGGUCCACCAGGGCCCUUGGUGGCUGGGGGCUCCAUUCCCACAUGGGUAAGGGAGGCUGCUCUGCACGGGGAGGCUCAGGGGCCCAGGGGUCUGGGCAGGGGCUGCGCACCACUCUCACUCCCUAACUACCCGGGUGCACUGUGAGCAAGGUCUCCUUCUCCCCCUUUCCUCUUCCUCCGUCGCUAAGCUCCCACUCCACCCCCACCAUUUAUUUCUUUUCUCUCUCUCUCUGUUUCUUCUCCCCGGGCCUCUCUCUCUGUGUCUGUCUCUCUCUGCUCUCUUUCUUUCUCUGUCUCUUUACUCUCGCUGUGUCUGUCUGUCUUCUGUUUCUUUCUUUCUGUUUCUGUUUCUCUCCCAGCCCUUUCUCCCUCUCUUUCAUCCCAGGCGCCAAAGCAGAGCCGUCAUGGGCCCUAUACCCAAGCCUCUGGAUGGGAAAAGCUGUUUGGGAAAUCUUGGGCUGGGGAAAGAGCAGCAGGUCGCUGGCGGCCUGGGUACUUCCUUCUCUCCAGGCAACCCUCUCCCAGCUGGAGGGCCCGGCCUUUCCUGCCCGCGGAGUCGCUGCCGCGUGUGGUUUCUGACCUCGCUGCGUCCAGGGCGGUGUUGUCUUGUGUCUCGGCAGGACCCACACAGCUGGAGUGAGGCAGCCAUGCCGCAGGCAGGUGCCUGGAACACCAGGACUUCUCUUGCGGGAAGACUGAAACUAUCUGACCCCGUGAGGUACGAGCUGGGGCGAGAUGGCGGUUGUGAGGCAAAGGCAGCUUCGGCAGCAGUGCUUACAUUUUUUUUCUUAGUUUCCUCUGGGAGAGUGGGAAAGAAAGCAAGUCUUCAGAUUUAGAAGGCAAAUCUUGGUUUAGGUGUGCCCCGAUCAGAAGGCCACGCUUGCCGAUGGCCUCUGGCCCAUCACUCCACUUCUCUCUCCAUGGAAGCUACGGCUCCAUGAAAGCUCUUUGGAAGAAUUACAAGCAAGGCCAAAGUUAUAUCGUGGCCUGGAUCUCUUUUGGAAGUAGAUGAUAUAUAAAUUCUUAAUUAAGGAG
ensembl:lncRNA